CUGGACAUCAGAAAUCCUCGUUGCUCUCCCUAACAUCCAAUUGUGUUCACAUCCGCACUUUGACCAAGAGCCUAGGCCAAGGUGUCCCCUGACUGGCUGUGAACCCUUAUCAUCCUUGCUCCCAGGACCAGCUCCAACCACUUUACAGUGACACUGUGCCUGUAGAAACUCCCUCAUGGGCACCUACAUGUGUGAGAAUCCACACUGAAGCAUGGCAGGUGGAGCCAAGCCCAUCGGAGCAGCAGGCAGUCACCGCUGAGCCCCAGCAAGGGCCAGAGCCAGCAGUGCCCAGCCCCUCUGGAUCAGAGACACACUCGGUGUCCCCACAGCAGACAUAUACUGCAAAUGGUCUUUUCAUAGCCCCAAUUUCAUUAAAAAUUAAAGCUGGCUUUGGAGUUGGAAUGUGGC
rnacentral:lncRNA from 1 species